AUGGGCGCGGCCAUGAUCUGGACGGUGGCGGCCGGUGCGGCGGCGGCGCUGGCCUCGUGGUGGGCGCUCAGCGCGCUGUCGCGGUUCGUGUGGCGGCCCCGCGCCAUAGCCAGGGCGUUCCGGGCGCAGGGCGUUGGCGGGCCAGACUACCAGUUCCUGGUCGGCAACCUCCUGGAGAUGAAGCGGCUCAUCGCCGAGGCCGCCGGCCUCGCGCUCGACGCCGGCUGCCACGACUAUGGCGCUCUGGUGCAGCCCCACUUACGUAAAUGGAUGGCCCUCUACGGGCGGACGUUCGUGUCCUGGUUCGGGGAGAAGCCGCAGUUGUUCAUGGGCGGCGUGAACAUGGUGCAGCAGGUGCUCUCCGACCGCACGGGGCUGUUCACCAAGAAUCCCGUCAACGAUCACUUCACCCGCGGGCUCGGCAAGGGGCUCAUCCUCAUCGACGGCGACGAGUGGAAGCGCCACCGGAAGGUCGUCCACCCAGUCUUCAACCUUGACAAGCUAAAGAUGUUGGCAGUGACCGUGUCCGGCUGUUUUCGGUCAGUGGUCUCCGACUGGGAGACAAAGUUGGAGAAGGGCAACGGCGAAUUGGAGAUCGAGAUUAGCUGCCAGUUCGGGGAGAUUGCAGCUGAUGUGAUCUCGCACGUAGCGUUUGGCAGAAACCACAAAGAGGCCAAGGAAGUACAUCUCAUACAGAAAGAGCUCCAGUAUCUUGUCUUCUAUAGUCUAUUCAAUGACGUUUUGAGCCAUAUCUCAGUAUUCAGGUAUCUCCCAACAAAAAAUAACCUGAAGAUGUGGAGGCUCCAGAGAAAGGUGAGGAGCAUACUGAUCAACAUCAUCGAAAGCCGGCUCGCCGCGAAGGACACAACAGGCUACGGGAACGACAUGCUCGGGGUAAUCCUGGAGGCAUGCGCGCCGGAGCAGGUGCAAAAUCCGCUCAUGAGCAUAGAUGAGAUCAUAGAAGAGUGCAAAACCUUCUACUUAGCUGGGCACGAGACCACAACACAGAUGCUUACCUGGACCAUGUUCUUGCUGAGCACGCAUGGGGAGUGGCAGCAGACGCUCAGAGAGGAGGUGCUAAGUGAGUGUGGCAACGAAAUCCCCACUGGCGACAUGCUCAACAAGCUGAAACUGGUCAACAUGUUCAUCCUUGAAACUCUCAGAUUAUACGCCCCCGUCUCACUAACCCAGAGGAUAGCGGGAUCAGAUGUCGAGCUCAAUGGCAUCAGGGUGCCUAAAGGCACGAUCUUGACAAUCCCGAUCAAAACGAUACACCGUGACAAAGAGCUAUGGGGCGAGGAUGCCGACGAAUUUAAGCCUAUGAGGUUUGAGAAUGGAGCGACGAGAGCCGCGAAGCACCCCAAUGCAUUUGUGCCCUUCUCUAGUGGACCAAGGGCAUGCGUUGGCCAGAACUUUGCCAUGAUCGAGGUGAAGGUCGUGGUGGCAAUGAUCCUGCAGAGGUUCUCAGUGACGAUAUCUCCGAAGUACGUCCAUGCGCCAAAGGAUGUUUUCACGAUAUGCCCCAAAUAUGGGCUUCCUGUUGUCCUUAGGAGCCUGUAG
rnacentral:rRNA from 1 species